AGCGAACGCUGGCGGCAGGCCUAACACAUGCAAGUCGAACGAACCCUUCGGGGUUAGUGGCGGACGGGUGAGUAACACGUGGGAACGUGCCUUUAGGUUCGGAAUAACUCAGGGAAACUUGUGCUAAUACCGAAUGUGCCCUUCGGGGGAAAGAUUUAUCGCCUUUAGAGCGGCCCGCGUCUGAUUAGCUAGUUGGUGAGGUAAUGGCUCACCAAGGCUACGAUCAGUAGCUGGUCUGAGAGGAUGACCAGCCACAUUGGGACUGAGACACGGCCCAAACUCCUACGGGAGGCAGCAGUGGGGAAUCUUGCGCAAUGGGCGAAAGCCUGACGCAGCCAUGCCGCGUGGGUGAUGAAGGUCUUAGGAUUGUAAAAUCCUUUCACCGGUGAAGAUAAUGACUGUAGCCGGAGAAGAAGCCCCGGCUAACUUCAUGCCAGCCGCCGCGGUAACAC
rnacentral:rRNA from 1 species